UGUCGUCCACUUCGACCCUAGCUGGAGU
rnacentral:piRNA from 1 species